AUUGAACGCUGGCGGCAUGCUUUACACAUGCAAGUCGGACGAGUGGCGAACGGGUGAGUAAUAUAUUGGAACGUACCGAGUAAUGGGGGAUAACCAAUCGAAAGAUUGGCUAAUACCGCAUAAUAUUCGAGCGGCAAAUAUCUGAUUAGCUAGUUGGUGGGGUAAAGGCCUACAAAGGCGACGAUCAGUAGCGGGUCUGAGCGGAUGCUCCGCCACACUGGGACUGAGACGCGGCCCAGACUCCUCCGGGAGGCAGCUGUGGGGAUUUUUGGACAAUGGGCGCGAGCCUUAUCCAGCCUUGCCGCGUUGCUUAAGAAGGCCUUCGGGUUGUAAAGGACUUUUGUUAGUGAAGCGGUACCUCGAGCAUAAGCACCGGCUAACUACGUGCCAGCAGCCGCGGUAAUAC
rnacentral:rRNA from 1 species